CACGGGGGGAGCAAGCGUUGUUCGGAAUCACUGGGCGUAAAGGGCGCGUAGGCGGUCUUGUCAGUCCCUUGUGAAAUCCCCCGGCUCAACUGGGGAACUGCACGGGAAACAGCAGGGCUUGAGUUCGGGAGAGGGAAGCGGAAUUCCGGGUGUAGCGGUGAAAUGCGUAGAUAUCCGGAGGAACACCGGUGGCGAAGGCGGCUUCCUGGACCGAUACUGACGCUGAGGCGCGAAAGCUAGGGGAGCAAACAGG
rnacentral:rRNA from 1 species